AUUGAACGCUGGCGGUAUGCUUAACACAUGCAAGUCGAACGGUAACAGGCCUUCGGGCGCUGACGAGUGGCGGACGGGUGAGUAACGCGUAGGAAUCUGCCUCAUAGUGGGGGACAACGUGUGGAAACGCACGCUAAUACCGCAUACGCCCUACGGGGGAAAGCGGGGGACCUUCGGGCCUCGCGCUAUGAGAUGAGCCUGCGUUAGAUUAGCUAGUUGGUAGGGUAAAGGCCUACCAAGGCGACGAUCUAUAGCUGGUCUGAGAGGACGAUCAGCCACACUGGGACUGAGACACGGCCCAGACUCCUACGGGAGGCAGCAGUGGGGAAUAUUGGACAAUGGGCGCAAGCCUGAUCCAGAAAUACCGCGUGUGUGAAGAAGGCCCUAGGGUUGUAAAGCACUUUCAAUAGGGAGGAAAACCUGUCGGUCAAUACCCGGCAGCUUGACAUUACCUAUACAAGAAGCACCGGCUAACUCCGUGCCAGCCGCCGCCGUAA
rnacentral:rRNA from 1 species